rnacentral:lncRNA from 1 species
GUCGGGAGCGCGCCGCACGUCUCCGCUCACUGUUAGUCUUUGCCCAGAAGUGGGUUAGGUCCGAGCAAGUCUACCAGUGGUUGGGGGGUGGGCACCCAGAAAUCGGCGAGGGGCUUGCUAUUUACUACGUGUUACCGCCUUGGGAAGCAUCGGAGGGCGGCUCUACCGUCCACAGACUCGCAGUAAGUUUUAAGUUAUGAGGUUUUUGGUGUCCAAGGCAGGGGAUCGAAUAGUAUUAAAUAGAAUGUAGACCAGUAACUAGUAUGGUCAGCCUGUCUCUAGAACUGGGAGCGUUCUAUCAUUGGAACACUGCGCACAGAGCAAACUUUACCGGAAUAAAAGGUGAUUUGUGGUCCCUGAUUUUGGUCACCAUACUUGUCAGCUCUUCUUAUCUACCCAGAAGAUAAUUGUUAUUUUUAUUUUAUGUACAAAAGUUUUUGCCAUUUUAUUGGGCAUGUAUAAUAUUGCCUACACACCACUGUGGGAUCCAAUGUUACUUAAGAACUUCCAUUUAAUAUUAUGCGCUAUUAAGAUAUAGACUGCAAUCCCCUUCCUGUUGCUAGCAGUGAUGGCUGACCAUGAUAGUCCAGAUGUUUUUGAGCCACAUAUCCCACGUUGUUCUUUGUAGAAAUGUUGCGUUUCCUGUAUGCCCAGCCCAGCCUUUACUGACGCAUUUAAUUGUGCAAUAGCGUUAUCUGAGCCUGCAACUCUUUUAUUUUAACUGAUCAUUGGGCCUCUUCUAAUAUAUAUUUACACAACCCUGGAAAGGCCCGGAGUUUAAAACACUAGGUGCCAAGAUAUCUGGGGAAGAUAAUGGCACAGUUUGUCAUUUCUAGGUCACUAAUGAAUUAGGAAGUGCAUGAUACAAUCAGGGUUACUAACCUCUGAAUUAUAAUAAACUAAAACGGAAUGGUAACAUUCAGGCUAAAAUAGUCCAGCAGUUGGAGGAUUACUUCAAAUCAGCGUCUGUCAGAAUUUUAGAAUUCGGGUUUCAGUUCACUACAGUUUUUGAUUAUCGUGAAUAAGCCCCUCGAGCCCACAUUUUAGUAAAUUUAAAUCAAAAUGCAAACUUCAUAUUAAUGAAGUGGCCUGGGUGCAGUUUCCCUAGCAUUUUAGCCCUGUAAUGUACAAUAUUGCUGUUUUGUAGACAAGGCAAUGCUUUCAUUGCAAGGCUAAAAACACCUCUAGUGGCAGCUUCCCCUGCUCUAUCAGAGUCACUCUGCUCUUCAAUCAGUGCUUCUCAUAGAGUGGAUUUGAUUGAAAGGAUGCAGUAUUUGCUUCGAAUCCACAAUGCUUCUAUGAGAAGCAUUGAGUAAGAGGAGGGGUCAGUGUUGUGAUGUCGGUAACAAAUCGAGCAGCAGCAGAGACUGUUUCACUGUGCUGUGGAAAAAAGUGAGUAAAAGUCUUUUAUAUAUUUUUCUUGCUCUGCAUUUAUAAACCGUGAGAAUAACAUACUUGUAUUCCAAAUACUGUAGUGUUCCUUUAAAUUGCUACACUUCAAACUUGAAUAAAUAAACCCCAUGGAGAAAAAUGUAAAACCUUUUAUUUGACACACAGAAACAAACAGAUCCUGAACUACUGAGACAUCUUAUCAGUCCUACAGUAACCCUGAUGGGCUUCCCAGGCACACUUAAACACACCUAUAAUCCUUAAUAUCAGAGGCUCUGCUCUCCUGUGUAGUGUGAUUGCUACUACAGCAACUAAAGAAUCCUGGUGCACCAGUGCUUGUCAAAAUCACCCAUCCAUAGCUCCUGUUCUCUUUCUUUGAUGUCCAGCAGGGAGAGAGAUCAGAGUUACAGUACGUUCUACUCACAUACAGCAGGUGUGACAGUAGAUGUAUAGAAAAGGUUAAAUACCCUGCUGUAGUUGUUUAUAAGGACCCUGGUGGCAUUACUACCAGUACAGCUUGUAGUAGUUUUGGUGCUCCGUGUCCUUUUAAUGAGGAAACUAAAAGGUUUGAUUAAACAAACACAUAACAAAACUGAAUCUGUGUGCCACUCAUGCCAUCCUCUCAGCCCGCUCUCCCUUACAUCAGGAGGGAGUGACAUCAGCGGAAGAGGACUGGGCUAAGGGUGAUCGUAAAGAGACACUAUCGCCACCAAAACAAGUUUACCGUAAUGAAGUAGUUUUGGUGUAUAGAUCAUGCCCCUGCAGUCUCACUGCUCAAUUCUCUGCCAUUUAGGAGUUAAAUCACUUUGUUUAUGCAGCCCUAGUCACGCCUCCCUGCAUGCGACUUACAUACCCUUCCUAAAUACUUGCCUUAAAGGACCACUCUAGGCACCCAGACCACUUCAGCUUAAUGAAGUGGUCUGGGUGCCAGGUCCUUCUAGGGUUAACCCAUUUUUUCAUAAUUAUAGCAGUUUCAGAGAAACUGCUAUAAUUAUGAAUGGGUUAAGCCUUCCCCUAAUCUCUAGUGGCUGUCUCAUUGACAGCCGCUAGAGGCGCUAUGCGUGCUUCUCACUGUGAAAAUCACAGUGAGAGCACGCUAGCGUCCAUAGGAAAGCAUUGUAAAUGCUUUCUAUGAGAGGCUGAAUGCGCACAGCUCUUGCCGCUGCGUGCGCAUUCAGCCGGGCGGGGCGAACGGAGGCGGAGAGGAGGAGGAGAGCUCUCCGCCCAGCGCUGGAAAAAGGUAAGUUAUUACCCCUUUCCCCCUUCCAGAGCCGGGUGGGAGGGGGUCCCUGAGGGUGGGGGCACCCUCAGGGCACUAUAGUGCCAGGAAAACGAGUAUGUUUUCCUGGCACUAUAGUGGUCCUUUAAGGUCAUCUAAUGAAAACUUGCUAGACACUGCAGGAGCCUACUGUGUGUGAUUUAAGUUAAAUUUACAGCACAGGAGAUAAAAACUUUAAAAGCAGGUUAACAUAUGAUUUGAAAUUAAACCAUUUUGUUUUAGUCACAGCCAGGUGGGGUGUGGCUAGGGCUGCAUAAACAGAAACAAAAGUAAUUUAACUUCUAAAUGGCAGUGAAUUGAGCAGUAAGACUGCACUGCUUCAGGCACCCAGACCACUUCUGCCCAUUGGAGUGGUCUGGGUACCAACUCCCAUCACCCUUAAGGAAUAAUUACCUUGCAGGGUUAAGUCCUCCUCCUAGUUGCUGUCUAUCAGACAGCCACUAGAGGGACUUCUGGGUUCUUAAAACCCAAAAAGUGCUUUAAACGGCGCUGGACGUCCUCGCGCUAUACACGAGGACCUCCAGCGUCGCCAGAAUCCCCAUAGGAAAGCAUUGAAUAAUGCUUUCCUAUGGGGAGGUCUAAUGGGCGCACGCGGCAGGUCUCCCCCACCGUCUGACGUCGGCAUGGGCGGAGCCUGACCCAGCGCCGAGGGACAUCAGCGCUGGAUUCAGGUAAGUGAAUCUUCACCUUCAGCAACAUGGGAUGGGGGGUGGGAGAAAGAUGGCCAUGUGUGACUACAGCUGUACUGCGGAAUAAAAAGCUUUGCUUUCUCAUUAUGCUAUCCAUAUAUUUGUACAGCACAAACAUUCAGUAAUCUACAUUAGCAGAAACUUUGCCAUGUGCUUUCACCCACACAGCCCUACACCUUGCACCGCUCAGCGUGUUUACUCUUGAUCGAAUAGAUGCAGGAUAUUUGCUCAGAAUGCCCGAAUGAUCCCAUAUUGUGAGAGGAGAGCAGGGGAUAGUGCAGUAUGUGCACUCAAUGCUCAUUUUCUGGUAGUGUGAUGAUUUUUUGUUUGUUUAAAUUUGAGUGGCAUGAGCACUCAUUGUGUGCUCACUCUAUACACAUAUUUGGAUGUCCAAGUAAGAAUGCAAAACUUCCUCACCUCAGAAAAAUGAAAAUAAAAUUAAAAAAAACUUGUCCUUUCCCUACCUAUAAAAACUAACCCCUUUUCUCUUUAUAACACCAUGACCAAAGGGUAUAUUAUCUUUUUUAGAGAUCCAAUCGUUCCCUCAUUCAUAGUUUAAAAUGGAGUCCUGAAUUUAAAGAGUUACUCUAAACCAUGUGCACAGUUUUCCUUUGUAGACUAACAAUGCCCUAUUGGGCAUAGCUGUUAGGUUCUCCGCCAUAGGGAAAAAAAAGUUAUCACUUACCUUGAAUUGAUUGCUGAUCUCCUUCCUCGUCUGACGUCACAGGGGGCUUUGCACGGCCCAAUCACAGGCUUCUCAUAGAGGGGAGGAAAGGUGGGAUUUUAAUUUAUUUUUAAUAAAAAAAAAAAAAAAUCAAAUGGGAGCAAUGGAGGGAGGCAGCGCCCACGGAGUUGGAUGGGAUAGGUAGCUUCCCCUUACAAGUUUUCUGCCUGCUAGGGAAAAAUUGUUAAAUCUGUUGUCAGCAUGCUGUCAGAUGUAAAAUAUGCACAGAAUUGACAUUAGGUAGUCCGGAACAUAGUUGGACAAAGCUCCUGAAUGGUCAAAAAAAUAGCAGAGUCCACUUUAGUGGAAUAAAUCGACUACUUUGUGAAAUCUGGGGCUGCAGUUCCUUUUUUUUUUUUUUUACAAUGGGCCCUGAGUGGGAUCCUAAACCGCCCCAGCUCUGAUUUUGGCACCGUUUUAUUGUUAGCAAGUACCUUGUAAUCCUGUAAGAGAAAUAACCCCUCCAAUUAUAUCAUUUGUGACAGUGCCACUUUAAUGCUCCAUAUGUGCGGUUAUUGUUGUGGGUGCAGGAUUUCGUUGUGGUUAGCACAGUAUGUAUCUAAUAUAGGUUCAUGCAAUACCCUAAAAUCAAUGAUUUGGUGUACUAUGCAAUUUAUAGGAUAGAGAUUGUAUAGGACUAGCCACACACAUUAUCUGCUGUUUGUGCAAUAUCACCUCUUUCACGUACCUUGUUAGUGCAUCAUAUUUAAAGGAACACUAUAGUCACCAGAACAACUACAAUUUAAUGUAGUUGUUCUGGUGAGUAUACUCAUUCCCUGCAGGCAUUUUCAUAUAAACACUGCCUUUUCAGAGAAAAGGCUCUGUUUACAUUGGCCCCUAGGGCCGAUUCCAGUGGUCACUACUUUAGAUGGCUACUAGAGGAGCUUCCUGGGGCUGUGCUGCAGGCUUUAUUACUUUUUUUUAAGGGGCCUAAAUUAUGGUUUUAGCACUAUAAGGUCAGGAAUACAUCCAGAUUCCUAGGUCAUUAUUUGUUUUUACAAUUUAAAAUUUCUGUUCUACUUGAAGGAUAUCCUUUCAUGGUUCUUGUGCAUUCUUCUAUGUUGUUUCCUGCUGUUGAUCUUUGUAGUAUAUCAUGUAGGGAUCGACCGAUUGUUUUUUUGGUUUUUUUAAAGAGCCGAUAAUCUGUCAACUUUCAGACCGAUAGCUGAUAACUUGCCGAUAUUCUGUACAUUUACCAUUUUGAAAAAAUAAACUUUCUAAAGGUAAAUGCACAAAAUAUAUAUGCCACAUUUAGUGGAUGCAGUGUGUUUAGACAGGGAGCUGUGUGUGUGUAGUGUGUAUAGUGGAUGCAGUGUGUUUGUGUAGGGAUGUAAUGUGUGUAAAAUGUGGGUGGGGCAUUUUUUUAUUUUUAUUUUCUUUUUAAUAUUUAAAUGUUUUAUUUAUUUUUUAGUCCCCCCCCUCCCUGCUUCUUACCAGGGACGGGGGAUAUAGUAUUCCCUGGUGGACUGGUGUCAUGGAAAGUACAGAGGGGGCCCGCCGCAAGCUCUUACUUACCUUUCCAGCAGCUCCCCUGUGUAACUCUUGUGUCCUGUGUGCCGCGCGGAGUAUUGCCAUGGUAACCCGUGGCAACUCUCUGACGGCCGCGGGACUCGCAAGAUUUACACAGGGGAGCUGAAGGGAGCUGCUGGAAAGGUAAGUAAGCGCUUGCUGCUGGCCCCCCCAGGACUGCCGGGCUGGAACACAUGGAAAUUUGACAAGUUGAUAUUCUGGGGAUAUAUAAUUUUGAGGGAGUAUAGCUAACUGCAUUACUCCAUCCUGGCAUACCAUUUGCAAAAGUAAACAGGUAACCCAGGGUAUUCCAAAAUGGCGGUGUACAGCCUUUUUUUAGUAGACCCUUAGUCACAAUAUAGUCACAAUACCUGUCCACACCUUGUGGGUUUUUUUUUCUUCUUCUCAUGAACUCUGCAACUUCACUGUGUUAAUCAUCCUUGUAUGUUUUACUGCUAUAAAACAUGCAUGUUUUUGGUUCAGUGAUUUCUGGUAAAUAUAGCAAUAACUCCAAUGUACAGGUUUUAUGGGGUUUUGGAAGUGACAAUUCUGAAUAGGGAUCGACCGAUUAUCGGUUUUACCGAUAUUAUCGUCCAAUAUUCGGUAUUUUUGGCAAUAUCGGUAUCGGCCAAUAUAGAUACCGAUAUUGCCGAUAAUACCUCCCCUGGGGGGGCCUGCAGGAAGCUUUCUUACCUUUCUUGCAGCUCCCCAGUGCAAAUAUCACGAGUCCCGCGGCCGCAGAGCGUUGCCAUGCAAGAUUUACACUGGGGAGCGGGAGAAGCUGCAAGAAAGGUAAGAAACAGCUUCCUGCCGCUCCCCCCAGUACUUAACAAACCACCGGACCACCAGGGAAUACUAUAUCCCCCCUCCCUGGUAAGAAGCAGGGACGUGGGGACUAAACAAAAAAUUUUUUUUUUAAAUAUUAAAAAACAAAAUUUAAAUAAAAAAAUUCACCCCCCCCCAUUCUACACUAAUUGCAUCAUUACAUACACACACACACACACACACACACACACUAUAUAACUAUAUAUAUAUAUAUAUAUAUAUACACACUACACAAACACACACUAUACACACACUCUGCAUUUACUUUACCCACACUACACACACACACACACUCUGCAUUCACUAUAUACAAAUACACACACUGCAUUCAUUAUAUACACACAGCUCCCCUGUCUAAACACACUUCAUCCACUACAUGUGGUAUGUAUAUUUUGUGCAUGUACCUUUAGAAUUAGUUUAUUUUUUCAAAAUGGUAAAUGUACAGAAUAUCGGCAAGUUAACGGCUAUCAGCCUGAAAGUUCACAGAUUAUCGGUAUCGGCUCUAGAAAAUCAAUAUUGGUCGAUCCCUAAUUCUGAACAUGGGGAUUCCUCAUUCCAAUUCUUUAACAUUGAAUUUUGCCAGAUUGGUUUACUGGCCCUCUGUUGCAGCCCAGGAAAGAAAACUACCACUUGGGUACUUCAAAAGUAGACAACCCACAUUAUAGUAAAAGGGGUGAGUUCAGUCUAUUUUUAGAAGCCACUUCGUUACAAAACCUUGGCCAAUUUAGUAUUUUGUGUGUGUUUUUCACUUUCUGAAUGUAUCAUGUUUAUUGAAGUCAGGCAAAUAAUUUCCAUGCAGGGAUUUAGCGUGUCCAGAUAUGCAAUACAUGUUGCACUUGAAUUGUUGUGCAAAGUGUUGCAUCAUAACCAACACGGAAAUGGUUACAGUGGUAACAACAGAACAUACUUAAGCUCUUCACAACUCCAUUCUUGCAUUUACAAUGACACAUCAUGACACUGUGUUGCAUGAAGCAGAAGGAAAGACAAAGCAAUUGAAAAUAAUCAACACGGAAAUGGUUACAGUGGUAAUAAUGAAAUCAAUUUAUAUGAGGAACAUAACAUAAAUGAGUUGAGAUGAUAACUUGGAUUGCAUCAGUCAGUGAAGUAGUGAGGAUUAAUUAGCAUGAUUUAGCUGCUAUCCCCCAGCAAGGCACAGUAAUAUAGUACUUCCAAAUGAGUAUUUUGAUCUGUUUGAUGCAGUCAACUUAUAAUGGCAGAUCUUACCCUAAACAAGGACAGGCCAAAGUCAGGGGUUCCAGAAAUCAGAGUAGUCCGUGUAACAUACCCAUAGGUCGGUAAAAGCACUUUACCAAGAGUAAUCAGGACAAGUCGGGGUCAAGAAACUGGAAUCCUAUACAGAGUCUUUGGACUUAAAGGGACACUCCGGAUCCCUAACGUCUUUUGCUUACUGAAAUCCUUGACGUGUGAAAAGUGAAGGAAAAAAGUUCAAAUUUCAAUAGAAAUCGGCACUUUUUUUUUUUUUAUAUAUAUAAAUUAAAGGGACACUAUAGUCACCCAGACCACUUCAGCUCAAUGAAGUGGUCUGGGUACCAGGUCCCUCAGGUUUUAACCCUACAGAUGCAAACAUAGCAAUUUCAGAGAAACUGCUAUGUUUACAUUUGGGGUUAAGCCAGCCUCUAGUGGCUGUCUUCCGGACAGCCACUAGAGGCGCAUCUGCGAUGCUUGAGGCAUAUUAUGCCUCCAUCGCGCAGAGCGUCCAUAGGAAAGCAUUUGCCACACAUGCGCAUUUGGCUCCGCUAGCGCCGGCGGGGGAGGAGAGGUCAUCAUUAAGCUUGUGCUGCUAUUUUUCGUUUGUGUGAUAAUAAACUGCAAUACCGGCGCUGGCCAGUAGGUGAAUGGAGAAAGGCAGGGUUAGGAAGCUACAGCUUAUCCCUGAUUCUUUCUCCUGACUGCAUCUGCAGGGGAGCAGCACAGAGUGCAGCCAGCAAGCAUGGGAAGGGGGGGUAGGGGCAACCUAUAGACCAGGUAAGUGAGGGAUGGGGGGGCAGUCUACAGAUCAGGUAAGUGAGGGAUGGGGGGGAGACAGCCUACAGGAAGGUAAAGUAGGAGGAGCAGAGAGGUUCUGCAAGGGGCAGAGCGGAAGGGGUAGCAAGAACAGGAAGCGGUAGGAAAGGUUUGCAAGGAGCAGGAGGGUGAAGUAGAAGGGUCAGCAAGGAGCAGGAAGCGGUAAUAAAGGUUUGCAAGGGGCAGGAGGGGUCAGCAAGGAGCAGGAAGAGGCAGCAAGGCGCACAAAGGUAAAGUAGGAGAAGGAACAGAAAGGGGCAGCAAGAAGGAGGAAGAGUCUGCAAUGAGCAGAAAGGGAAAUCAAGGAGCAGAAAGGGUCAACAAUUACCUGGAAGGGGCAGAAGGAGCACAAAGGUAAAGUAGGAAAAGGAACAGAAAUUAGCAGGAAGGGCCUGCAAGGAGAAGGAAAGCUCUGGAAGGAGCAGAAAGGGAUCAGAAAGAGAAAGGAGCAGAAAGGUGCAAAAUAAGCAGAAAAGUAAAGGAGCAGAAGGAGCCAAGGAGGAGAGAAGACAGUGUCCGAAGAAAAAGACUGUGUCAAAUGGAGAAGAAAAUGAGAUUGGAGCAGGAAGGACAAGUGAAGUGGUGUCAUUCUGGACACCACAUCAUAAGGCUUUGGUACCUGGGCCUGGCAGGAAACAUUGGACCUUCUCAUCUCCCCAGGUAAAAAAAACAUAUCAGUGUUAAUGUGUUCACUUUUAUUUACUGAGUGUCAGGAAACACAGAGGGCCGCUAGGUAGAGGUGCCGCUGAUUGGCUACAACGGUCAGCUGGCAUUCUAAGCCAAUCAGUAGCUCCCCAUUCAUAAAAACGUAAAAAAAACUAUGAAUCGGGAACUAGCCAUUGGCUUAGAGCGUCAGCUGACCACUCUAGCCAAUCAGCGGCACCCAUGCCUGACGUCAAUCUGCACUUCCUGACACUCCGUUUCAGAAGCCGAAUACCACUGAGCGACCUGGAGAUCUGGAGGAAACCUUUUGGGUUUAAACCAUUUGAGAGCGGUUUAACCCAUUAAAGGAAAGCGAGCACCCAGGGGCCUCCUGGCAUCAUAGCAUUUUCAUUUAGAUGAAGUUGUUAUGGUGACCAGAAUGUUCCUUUAAUUUGCUUAAAGGAACACUAUAGUGUCAGGAAUACAAACAUGUAUUCCUGACACCAUAGUUGUGAAAACGCUAUUCACCCUGGCUUUAUGUGAUAAUGAAUAUGCUCCUCCCCUUCAUGACACUGUCAAAAAGGGGCCAAGCAUGGAUGUCAUUACAAUUAUGACCCCCUUCCCCCCAGAAAAAUUCCUGUGGACACCCAUGACCCUGGCCCAAUUCCCUUGUAAUGGGUCAAACAGUUUAGCUGACGUCAGAGUAGUGGGGCAAACAGUUAAGCAGUUGUUAGUCUUCUGAAAUGGUUAGGUGAAACUCUUCCAGCCAUUGGCUGAGAGCAUCAGCUUACUGCUGUCAGCCAGUGAAUAGCACACUGUGUGAAAAAAGGUCUAGUUCUGGACUAGCUGAUGACACCCCGUGGCCCUGCAAGAGGUGCCGUUACAACCCUUGUAGCCAAAGGAUUAAACUCUGUAUGUGCAGUGUGUUUCACAGUGAAGAGCUAAACAUACAGACUCCAGGCACCUUUAUAUCUCUGCAGUGAUCAUGGUGCGUGAGAGAUUUAAUGAACAUGGACAGUUUGUCAGGUGGAAGUUCACACUGAGAAUAUUAAUUUGCAGAGACCAGUGUUUCAAAAAUUUACCAAUGUAACUAUUGUGGGGGGGAGGGGGACUUAUUUUGAUUGUGGUUUCCUCUCUGACAAUUAACAUAUGUUUAUUUGUUGUAACAUUCUUGAGCGUUUUUCUUGAGAUUUUUCUAGUUUACUGGGUCUCAUUUAUUUAUUAAUUUGCUUUAGACCAUUUUUAGAAAUUGGGUUUAAACCAUGGACAACGUUCCUCCAUUUCUUUGUAACAACCAUUUUAAUAUCCACCUGUUUUAGAUAAGCUUUUUAUGCCAUCCCAAUUUUGAUGAAAAUAUAAAAACAAAUAAAAUGCAUUAUAUUACACUCUUAUAAACUUUAGGACCUCAUUGCAAGGUUUUGUCGGCAUUUUAUAGGCCAUUUCCUACUUUAAGUAAAGUAUAACUAUCACUUCUCUGACAGUGACAUGCAAUAGUAGUUUAAUUCCAGUAAAUCCUCUGUACUGGGGUGAAUAAUGCAGGCGUGUGUGUCUCUACAGGGAGUGCAGAAUUAUUAGGCAAAUGAGUAUUUUGACCACAUCAUCCUCUUUAUGCAUGUUGUCUUACUCCAAGCUGUAUAGGCUCGAAAGCCUACUACCAAUUAAGCAUAUUAGGUGAUGUGCAUCUCUGUAAUGAGAAGGGGUGUGGUCUAAUGACAUCAACACCCUAUAUCAGGUGUGCAUAAUUAUUAGGCAACUUCCUUUCCUUUGGCAAAAUGGGUCAAAAGAAGGACUUGACAGGCUCAGAAAAGUCAAAAAUAGUGAGAUAUCUUGCAGAGGGAUGCAGCACUCUUAAAAUUGCAAAGCUUCUGAAGCGUGAUCAUCGAACAAUCAAGCGUUUCAUUCAAAAUAGUCAACAGGGUCGCAAGAAGCGUGUGGAAAAACCAAGGCGCAAAAUAACUGCCCAUGAACUGAGAAAAGUCAAGCGUGCAGCUGCCACGAUGCCACUUGCCACCAGUUUGGCCAUAUUUCAGAGCUGCAACAUCACUGGAGUGCCCAAAAGCACAAGGUGUGCAAUACUCAGAGACAUGGCCAAGGUAAGAAAGGCUGAAAGACGACCACCACUGAACAAGACACACAAGCUGAAACGUCAAGACUGGGCCAAGAAAUAUCUCAAGACUGAUUUUUCUAAGGUUUUAUGGACUGAUGAAAUGAGAGUGAGUCUUGAUGGGCCAGAUGGAUGGGCCCGUGGCUGGAUUGGUAAAGGGCAGAGAGCUCCAGUCUGACUCAGACGCCAGCAAGGUGGAGGUGGAGUACUGGUUUGGGCUGGUAUCAUCAAAGAUGAGCUUGUGGGGCCUUUUCAGGUUGAGGAUGGAGUCAAGCUCAACUCCCAGUCCUACUGCCAGUUCCUGGAAGACACCUUCUUCAAGCAGUGGUACAGGAAGAAGUCUGCAUCCUUCAAGAAAAACAUGAUUUUCAUGCAGGACAAUGCUCCAUCACACGCGUCCAAGUACUCCACAGCGUGGCUGGCAAGAAAGGGUAUAAAAGAAGAAAAUCUAAUGACAUGGCCUCCUUGUUCACCUGAUCUGAACCCCAUUGAGAACCUGUGGUCCAUCAUCAAAUGUGAGAUUUACAAGGAGGGAAAACAGUACACCUCUCUGAACAGUGUCUGGGAGGCUGUGGUUGCUGCUGCACGCAAUGUUGAUGGUGAACAGAUCAAAACACUGACAGAAUCCAUGGAUGGCAGGCUUUUGAGUGUCCUUGCAAAGAAAGGUGGCUAUAUUGGUCACUGAUUUGUUUUUGUUUUGUUUUUGAAUGUCAGAAAUGUAUAUUUGUAAAUGUUGAGAUGUUAUAUUGGUUUCACUGGUAAUAAUAAAUAAUUGAAAUGGGUAUAUAUUUGUUUUUUGUUAAGUUGCCUAAUAAUUAUGCACAGUAAUAGUCACCUGCACACACAGAUAUCCCCCUAACAUAGCUAAAACUAAAAACAAACUAAAAACUACUUCCAAAAAUAUUCAGCUUUGAUAUUAAUGAGUUUUUUGGGUUCAUUGAGAACAUGGUUGUUGUUCAAUAAUAAAAUUAAUCCUCAAAAAUACAACUUGCCUAAUAAUUCUGCACUCCCUGUAUAUAUAAAUCAUGUGUAUAUGAAUAAUCAUAAAGCUGUAUUAAAAAAUGUGAUAUCUUCCACCCAUAGUUAACAAAACUUCACAUCUUGAAAUGUUAAUUUUUACUCUCAGGUGCCGUAAGUGUGACCAUGUAUUGCAAAUGUUCUGGUUUUUCCCAACUUGGGCAGGACAAUUAACUCCUAAUUAUUUAUUAUUGUAGUGCAUGAGUUGGCAGAUUUUGGACUCCUAAUUAUGAACAUGCAGCAAAAAAAUGAAAUUUCUAGUUUGAGUGAUAUGUUUGUAUGAAGUAUGUGCAAGUUUGAAUCUAUAAGCAUAUCUGGAUCCUCCAUAAAUCUUCUCACACAUGUGAAUUUAUCUGCCUGUUCCCAGUGGCAGGGUAUUGAGACUCUGCAUGUUUGCAUGCCCAUAAUUUUAGACUACAUAACAUAAGUUGCCACAUCUUUGUCUUACCUCUUCUUCCAGGUUGCCAUGAUGACUUAAAAAGGUCAACUGACACCCACAUUUCUUUCUAUGUUGCAGGGCCAUUUUAACAUCAGGUUUAACAGUUGUCUGUACUAUUAAAUUGGCGCUGUCAGUCAGGAGCUCCAUAAUACAAACUAGCUUAAACUCUUGGCAGUCCCUUUUCAGUCUACUUCCAAGUGUCUGACCUUAUCCAUGUAGCGACCUUUAAAGGCUAACUCCAACCACCAUGACCACUUCAGUGAUUUGAAAUGGUCAUGGUGGUAAGACUCUGUAUGUGCAGCGUUUCUGCUUGAAAUGUUGCACAUACAAAGAAAUCUGUACUUGUAUUCUGGAUGCGGUACAGGUGAAUUAGGCAUCCAUGAACUCUGUUCCAGACUAAUAUCAAUAAUGCGCAUAAAAUUUGUCUGUCAUUGGCGCACUGGAGUAACCCUUUAAAGCGCCACUUUUACUCCCCCUGCAUGCGCCAGAGUACAGCAGUGACAUUACCUCCUACUUCUGCGAGGAGGAAUACUGAGACAAAGUAGGGACAAUUUUGUCUCAGAAUUUUUUUUACGCCUGACACUUCUAGACAUUGGGCCGAGCUACCAUUGACGGCUGCAGAGAUAUUGGCUGUAUAUAUGGAGGAUCUUACGGGAUCCUCCUUAGACAACAAUGCUGCACUCUGGUGCAUGUGUGAAAAGACGAGGACUGGCCCGAAGAAAAAGGCGGUGCCCGUGAGAGACUGGUCCAGAUUAUAAAUCUCACCUUUCCCUGUCCAACCCCCACCGGACCACCAGCGGCAAUGUCACCAUCAGGGGUCUUUGCAAAUCAUGCAUAAUCUCCAGACAGUGGAAGUGCUACUUUAAGAUAUAACCAUGAGGAACAUGUAUGGGUGGUUUCAACAUCUGAGUAUUAGUCGUGGGUUUAUCCCCCGACUCCUAUGACUUUGGCAGUUGUGGAGUUAAAACAGUGCUUCCCGUGGCCACCCUCUUAGUUUGGUAGUUGUAGAGUUAAAAUUAUGCAUGCAGUGUGUUUGCCAUUUCAUUGGUUAAAAAAAAGUCCCAGUGUCUGGCACUUGCUGGGUUUUCCCUCAGUUUCAAUGGGUUAUAUAGGUGAGCCAGUUUAAAAAUAAAUAGAAAAAUUGCUUUUACAACAUUCACCUAUGUAUAUACAUGCUUUCACAAACCUAUAUUCAUCUUCAUACUUGCAUACACAUGCCUCGACAUAUUAAAGUGCCACUACAACCACACCCUGUGUAAACUUUCACACAUAUACACACAUUUUCUGAAUGUCUGUGUUUUAGUAGUAGUAUAUUUUGUGUCCAAUGAUCUCUCCUGGCUCCCUGAUACUGUGGAAAUUAGACAAGCAGUGUUAUUAUUGAGUUUUUCAUAAAGAUCACAUCAUUACAGUUAUUUAUGUUGUCUUUUUAUGCUCUGGAAUGCACAUAAAAGUGCAGGGGCUUACAGCAGUUUGAGAUCUAGGUCAAUUUCUAGAUUUCUGUGCUUAGUGUCAUCUUUCCAGUUCUUACAAAGUGGAAGCAGGUUUAACAAGGUUUGUAAGUUAUCUUUAGUUAUCUAUCCUUUAGUGCUUUAACAUUAUCAUAAUGAAGAACUUUAAGAGGUGUGUGUGUGUGUGUGUGUGUGUGUGUGUGUAUAUAUAUACAUACACACACACACACACACACAGAAGUGUUUGGGAAUUUUUUUUAUUUAUAAUGCAAAUGUAAUUAUCGUGGCUGCGCUUCAAUUAUAAUAUUCACUCGAUAAUUUGCACUUUAAAGGGGAACUUACUGCACAAACACUUGCAUAUAUACUUUGGAAGCACUUGAUAACUUAAAGAGAUUUUUUGCACUUGUGUUUUGGUUGUGUGGUUUUAUUUUAUUUAUUUUAUUUAUUUUUUUAAUUCUUUCUACCACCUCCUUUAAAAAUAAACUACCAGUUAAACAGACUGUUAAUCAAGCGCCAGCAGCCACCCCACCCCAUCUGAGAUCUUUUGUCCAGAUGUUCUACAAUCCAGUUCAAUGCGUCUCCUAAAAAAAAAAAAAUGAUUUUGGGGCCCUGUUGCUCAGCCAGUUGAUGUUUCUUAUAGAGAAACAUUGAAUCCACAUGCCUCCCCCCCCAAUCCCAAUUUCGUCAGGACCGUCCUGUUUUUUGGAUCUUGUCCAGAUUUUGUUCCCUGGUGUUCUGCUUUUGGAGACACCAGUGGAACUGUCCCCCAACAGUGUAGUGUGUGCACAUUAGUAGAUGAACUCAUGCUGCAUUCACUGUACGGUCCACCCUCUGUGGGCUGGCUUGCUUGAUAAAAGCUCCUCUUUUUUUUUUUUUUUUUUUUGAGCUGAAAUUGUGUGAUUGUGUGUUUUGUACUUUGUUUAAAAACAAAAAACUGCCCUUUACUUCAUUCCCUUGCCAAAUCUUCUUUGCUAUAAUUUAUCAUGCACAUUCACUUAACACAUAGGAAUGUUUGAGCUGGAGUGACAGAAUUUGUGUUACACCGCUCUAAUUUUUAACUAGAACUUACACACCAAAAAAGCUUAAUUGGGAGGGCGGGGCCUGACCCUUACGGUGACUGGACGUUUGUCGGAUGAGCUUCUAGAAUGUUCCUUAUUUUAAGCUGUUUAAACUCCCAGCACACCAGUCUGCACUAUUCUAAGACUUACCUGUCUCUGGGGCCAGCCGGGGUGCUCGCUAUCAGUUUUACGAAUCACCUACUCUGCAAAUCCCGGUGGCUCCUGCGCUGCCUGUAAACAUCGGGCCAGUAAAGCAGCCAAUCAUCCGUCCUGCACAUCCCUGAGCCAGCACGGAGAAACCUUGCACCCUGUCCCCCCCCGCCCUCUGGACUGGAGGGGGUUAACACAGUCCCCACUGGCUCCCAGCAUUUACCUCUGCUGCUGUACCUAUGUGAAAUCUGACUGUAUUUCGUCCAUACAAGAUGGCGACUGCUCCUUGACCACAAGCCCCCACAGUCCAAGAGAACAACUCAUGACUGGGUUGCUCAAUCCCUGAGUUGCUUGGAGGAGAUUUUUGAGAAUUUCUGUAUGUCAUUAGAGGCUUCCAGCUCAAGAAGGUGACCGGAGGAGUGAGAGCCAGGAGGAGAAAGGGCCCACCUUGAGCAAUCAACCUUCACCAGCACGUGUUCCUGCUACCACUAGCCCACCUGGGCCAACGACCACCUGGACUGAGAAUCUAGUUCAUCGUCCACACAGACAGAAGACUGACCAUACUCAGCGGCCUUACAACACCUGGGUCUUCUGUUAUUCCCCUAUGGGGAAGGACUUGGACUUUGAGAGCCCCUUGGUCCGUGGUUUACUGAUGCUGGCUGGGAUAACAGCCUGGGGCUGGGGGGCACCCUAACUCCAAUGUGGCUAACUAAACAAGUCUACCACAGUGAGCUUAACAUGCCAAGGAAUUGACUAAACUUCCCUUUCAUUACCUGGACAACCUACCAGCUCUUACUGUGGGGUCUACCCUGGCGGAGUGGACACCAAUCCGACCCUCUAAUUUCGUAGUGACAUGCUAGACCUAGCUAGUUUUCUUAACUUUUGUCUAAAUAUUUCAAGACCAUCAUAUUAGCUUCAGCCUAAUACAACAAAAUGCAUCUGUGACAGUGCGAGCAGAUCCAGUGACUAGUAUGCUAUGUUUUACACGUGCCUACUUAUGCCUUGCUAACCAAGUACCUAGCUGUUGUUUAUUAAGUGGAUUAAGUGGACACCUCUAUUUAGCUUGUUAUCCCAUAAGGAAAAAUGUGCAGCUUUCCACAAAUGCCUCGUUAUUACUCUUGUUCAUAUGCUUAUACAUGCUGUUGUUGCAUCAUAUGCAUUUUUGUUGAUCCUUCACACAACAAAAAUAAAGAAUUGUAUAAAAAAAAAAAUAUAUAUAUAUAUUUAUUUCAAAUAGUGAUCAAAUCUGAGAGUGCUGAUCACUAUUUGAAUUUUCCUGGAUUACAAGCACCCGGUUACUAAAUCAUCCAAGCGUGAGUGCAAGGACUUUUCUAUUUUUGAUAUAUACAUACACAAAUACACACACUAGAGAAGACUUGCUUUUUACCACAGAAAUCUUACUUUAACAGUGCUCUCACUGCUGCAUACAACCCAAACCCGUAAGACUUGUUUUUUUUUUUUUUGUGUAUUUGUGUUUAACAUUGCAUCAAAGGACCACUAUAGGCACCAACGAAGUGGUCUGGGUGCCAGGUCCAUCUAGGGGUAACCCUGCAGCUGUAAACAUAGCAGUUUCAGAGAGAACUUGCCGCGCAUGCGGUGGAUGACGUCGGAAGAGGGAGGAGAGUCCCUAGCACCGAGGGAGCCCGGCGCUGGAGAAAGGUAAGCGUUUAACCCCUUCCUCCCCCCUUCAGCCUGGCGGGAGUGGAGCCCAGAGGGUGGGGGGGGGGACCCAAAGACCCUAUAGAGCCAGGAAAACAAGUUUGUUUUCCUGGCACUAUAGUGGUCCUUUAACUAUCCACUUAUUUCAGGUGGAAGGGGUUUUCAGCCACACUUUAAACCCUGCAAUGCUGGGACAGAAUUAUGCUCACAUUGCAUAGCAUAGUUUUACGUUAUUGAUGUCCUGAUGCAAAUUAGCCCAGACAUGAAGAUAAAUAUUUUUGGGAAUACCAUGUACUUGUAAAUAAUUGGAAUGAAACUUCACAGACUACCACUUCGACAGCCUAUAUAACUACUUAAACCACGCACUCAUGGGACUUUGUCUGGGUUCAGUAGUGGUUGGUCGAUAAAUUAGGGAUUGACAAAUUUUGUUUGAAAUCUAGGAGCCAGCUAAUAAAGUUAGGAGCCAGGUUUUAAUUUUUUUUUAACUAAUUUUCAACGAGAAACAUUCUUAAAGGAACACUAUAGUCACCAGAAGUACUACAGCUUAAUGUAGCUGUUCUGUUGUCUAUAGCCUGUCCCUGCAGGCUAUUCAAUGUAAACACUGCCUUUUCAGCCAAAAGGCAGUGUUUACAUUUCUGCUUGGUAAAACCUCUAGUGACAGUCACUAGAGUCCUGGGUCACUGCUACACAGUGCAGCAUCCACAUUCAGCGUUUCCAAGAUCUGCAUGGAGGUGCUGAAUGUUCCCCUUAGAGAUUCUAAGGAAAAGCACCGGUGUUUUGCUGCGCAUGCGCACUAUCCUUCCAAUGCUUUCUUAUUGGAAAGCAUUGGCUUAGCUGAGAUCAAAAAGAUGAAUAGUCUCUGCCAUGAAGGCAAGACCAGCCGCAGCGAAACUGGCAUGGCAUGGGAAAAAAGGUGAGUAAAAACACCUUUCUCAUGUGAAUGGGGGGGCAGGUACCUAAACAGAUGCAUACAUACAUACACAUGCGCACACAGCCUCUGACGUGUUGACACACACAUUUUCUCAAACACUCACAAACUGACGUUAUUUUUUGUUUGUUUUUAUUAUUUAAAUCCACCCAGUCUCCCUAACUUUGGGCCUCAGCCCAAUGCUCCCGCAGCAAAUCCCAGGCGCCGGGGGAAAUUUCUAGUCGCCAUGGUGACCUGGCGCCUGGGAUUUUUUGAGUCCUGCUAUAAAUCAGUGCUAGUUCUCAUAAUGGCAAUAAUUUUAUCAUUGGAUGCUGAGAGAUAAUUAAUGUAUUUAAGGUACUUCAUUAACCUUUUCUUUGAAAGUUUGAAUAUUAAUACAUUACAAAAGAAACUUGGUGCACAUGUCCCCCCCGUCCCCACCUUUCCAAGCUAACACCUUUCUUCAUGGCUGUAAACAAGUUCUGUAAGUCCCUGAUAUGUCUUUCAGGAGGUAUGUAAGUAAUGUUAUUGUUUAACAUAAAAAAACCCUCUUUAAUACAUAAUUCUGUUCUGUGUAAUAUUUGACCUAUAUCACUAACUGCUUUUUAUGACCAAGGACUUCUUAUUUGCUUUCCUAGGCAAAAUGCAAGGUCCAACAAACUAUCAGCCAAUACCAGGUGGAUAUGUGGUCCCAUCAGCCCCUCCUUCAUAUGAAGAGGCAACAUAUGGUCAUCAGCCGUAUCCUCCACAACCAUAUCCUGCACAACCAUAUCCUCCACAACCAUAUCCACCACAACCGCCACCUCCUCAACCAGGGAUGGAUGCCAAGCAUAUGAACAGUGCUCCAUAUAUUGUUCAGCCAGUGCCAAUGCAACCCCCACCUGGUAAAUUCUUGAUUUAUUGCAAUUUCUUUUGAGAACUGUAUCUAACUUUCUAUUACGUUUGUAUAUUGGAAUGAUUGGGCACCCGCAUUUUAAAAAAAC